GACGAACCGUCCAAACGUUAUUCGGAAUCACUGGGCUUACAGAGUUCGUAGGCGGUCUGGAAAGUUGGGUGUGAAAUCCCUCGGCCUAACCGAGGAACUGCGCUUGAAACUACCAGACUCGAGGGAGAUAGAGGAAAGCGGAACUGAUGGUGGAGCGGUGAAAUGCGUUGAUAUCAUCAGGAACACCGGUGGCGAAGGCGGCUUUCUGGGUCUUACCUGACGCUGAGGAACGAAAGCCAGGGGAGCGGAACGGG
rnacentral:rRNA from 1 species